rnacentral:rRNA from 1 species
GACGAACGCUGGCGGCGUGCUUAACACAUGCAAGUCGAACGGAAAGGCCCUGCUUUUGUGGGGUGCUCGAGUGGCGAACGGGUGAGUAACACGUGAGUAACCUGCCCUUGACUUUGGGAUAACUUCAGGAAACUGGGGCUAAUACCGGAUAGGAGCUCCUGCUGCAUGGUGGGGGUUGGAAAGUUUCGGCGGUUGGGGAUGGACUCGCGGCUUAUCAGCUUGUUGGUGGGGUAGUGGCUUACCAAGGCUUUGACGGGUAGCCGGCCUGAGAGGGUGACCGGCCACAUUGGGGCUGAGAUACGGCCCAGACUCCUACGGGAGGCAGCAGUGGGGAAUAUUGCACAAUGGGCGGAAGCCUGAUGCAACAACGCCGCGUGCGGGAUGACGGCCUUCGGGUUGUAAACCGCUUUCGCCUGUGACGAAGCGUGAGUGACGGUAAUGGGUAAAGAAGCACCGGCUAACUACGUGCCAGCAGCCGCGGUGAUACGUAGGGUGCGAGCGUUGUCCGGAUUUAUUGGGCGUAAAGGGCUCGUAGGUGGUUGAUCGCGUCGGAAGUGUAAUCUUGGGGCUUAACCCUGAGCGUGCUUUCGAUACGGGUUGACUUGAGGAAGGUAGGGGAGAAUGGAAUUCCUGGUGGAGCGGUGGAAUGCGCAGAUAUCAGGAGGAACACCAGUGGCGAAGGCGGUUCUCUGGGCCUUUCCUGACGCUGAGGAGCGAAAGCGUGGGGAGCGAACAGGCUUAGAUACCCUGGUAGUCCACGCUGUAAACGGUGGGUACUAGGUGUGGGGUCCAUUCCACGGGUUCCGUGCCGUAGCUAACGCUUUAAGUACCCCGCCUGGGGAGUACGGCCGCAAGGCUAAAACUCAAAGGAAUUGACGGGGCCCCGCACAAGCGGCGGAGCAUGCGGAUUAAUUCGAUGCAACGCGUAGAACCUUACCUGGGUUUGACAUGGAUCGGGAGUGCUCAGAGAUGGGUGUGCCUCUUUUGGGGUCGGUUCACAGGUGGUGCAUGCCUGUCGUCAGCUCGUGUCGUGAGAUGUUGGGUUAAGUCCCGCAACGAGCGCAACCCUUGUUCACUGUUGCCAGCACGUUAUGGUGGGGACUCAGUGGAGACCGCCGGGGUCAACUCGGAGGAAGGUGGGGAUGACGUCAAGUCCUCAUGCCCCUUAUGUCCAGGGCUUCACGCAUGCUACAAUGGCUGGUACAGAGAGUGGCGAGCCUGUGAGGGUGAGCGAAUCUCGGAAAGCCGGUCUCAGUUCGGAUUGGGGUCUGCAACUCGACCUCAUGAAGUCGGAGUCGCUAGUAAUCGCAAAUCAGCAACGCUGCGGUGAAUACGUUCCCGGG